UUCCUGGUUCAAGAUCAUCUGUGCCCAUUCUCCAUGGAAUGUGGAGUUGUGUCAGGAAGGGCAUCUGACAUAAAAUUGUGUGAAAUC